rnacentral:tRNA from 1 species
GCGCUCGUAGCUCAGCUGGAUAGAGUACCUGGCUACGAACCAGGCGGUCAGAGGUUCGAAUCCUCUC